rnacentral:tRNA from 1 species
UGUUCUGUGGCUUAGCAGGUUAAAGCGCCGGUUUAAUGAAUACGGAGUUGUGGGUUCGAUUCUCACCAGAACGC